rnacentral:rRNA from 1 species
UACGCCUACGGGGCGCAGCAGUGGGGAAUAUUGCACAAUGGGGGAAACCCUGAUGCAGCGACGCCGCGUGAGUGAAGAAGUAUUUCGGUAUGUAAAGCUCUAUCAGCAGGAACGAGACAAGACGGUACCUGACUAAGAAGCCCCGGCUAACUACGUGCCAGCAGCCGCGGUAAUACGUAGGGGGCAAGCGUUAUCCGGAAUCACUGGGUGUAAAGGGAGCGUAGACGGCCAAGCAAGCCAGGGGUGAAAGCCCGGGGCCCAACCCCGGGACUGCCCUUGGAACUGCUUGGCUGGAGUGCGGGAGG